UCCUGGGGCUGUAGCCGGUCCCAAGGGUAUGGCUGUUCGCCAUUUAAAGUGGUACGCGAGCUGGGUUCAGAACGUCGUGAGACAGUUCGGUCCCUAUCUGUCGUGGGCGUUGGAGAUUUGAGAGGGGCUGCUCCUAGUACGAGAGGACCGGAGUGGACGAUCCCCUGGUGUUCCGGUUGUCACGCCAGUGGCACUGCCGGGUAGCUAUGAUCGGAAGCGAUAACCGCUGAAAGCAUCUAAGCGGGAAGCGCGCCUCAAGAUGAGAUCUCCCGGGGCACAAGCCCCCUGAAGGACCCAUGAAGACUACAUGGUUGAUAGGUCAGGUGUGUAUCGCAGUAAUGCCGAGCUAACUGAUACUAAUGAUCCGUGCGGCUUGAUCAUAUAACUCCAA
rnacentral:rRNA from 1 species